ensembl:lncRNA
GACACUGGGAAAGUAAGAGAGACUGGGGGAGAGACACUGGGGGAGAGACACUGGGAAGUAAGAGAGACUGGGGGAGAGACACUGGGGAAGUGAGAGAGAGACUGGGAGAGAGACACUGGGAAAGUAAGAGAGACUGGGAGAGAGACACUGGGAAAGUAAGAGAGACUGGGAGAGAGACACUGGGAAAAGGACACUGGGAAAGUAAGAGAGACUGGGAGAGAGACACUGGGAAAGUAAGAGAGACUGGGAGAGAGACACUGGGAAAGUAAGAGAGACUGGGAGAGAGACACUGGGGGAGAGACACUGGGGAAGUGAGAGAGACUGGGAGAGAUGCUGGGAAAGUAAGAGAGACUGGGAGAGAGACACUGGGGGAGAGACACUGGGAAAGUAAGAGAGACUGGGGGAGAGACACUGGGGAAGUGAGAG